UGAGGAAUAUUGGUCAAUGGACGCAAGUCUGAACCAGCCAUGCCGCGUGAAGGAUGAAGGCCUUCUGGGUUGUAAACUUCUUUUAUCUGGGAAGAAACCUCCGAUUUCUAUUGGAGCCGACGGUACCAGAGGAAUAAGCACCGGCUAACUCCGUGCCAGCAGCCGCGGUAAUACGGAGGGUGCAAGCGUUAUCCGGAUUCACUGGGUUUAAAGGGUGUGUAGGCGGGCAGUUAAGUCAGUGGUGAAAUCUCCGGGCUCAACCCGGAAACUGCCAUUGAUACUAUCUGUCUUGAAUACUGUUGAGGUGGGCGGAAUAAGUCAUGUAGCGGUGAAAUGCAUAGAUAUGACUUAGAACACCAAUUGCGAAGGCAGCUCACUAAACAGCGAUUGACGCUGAGGCACGAAAGCGUGGGGAUCAAACAGG
rnacentral:rRNA from 1 species